rnacentral:lncRNA from 1 species
GGAGCAACAUCCAAGAAACUGAGGCGCUUUAUCAAUUGGAAAUGAAAGAGGUAGUGAGGGGUGGAGAAUCGUGACUGAGGAGCUCCUCCUAGGUAGCCUUCCAGAUACUGGUAGGCCAUGACUUAACCGUUCCUAAUCUUAACCUUAGCUGUGCUGGUUGAGCAUUGUCCUCACAUAGAAAUGAAGAGACUUACUGAAGGUAGAGCCCAGUUUUCAAUUUGGACCAUCCUGUUCCCUCUGCCUUAGUACCAUCAAGCAAGGUGAUUCUUCAAAGUCAACAAAAGCUUCAAAGGAGUCCCUAAUUUCUAGAGGGGUACAAAUGACUACUCUGCUCCAUCUGUUUCUUCCAACAUUGCAGGGUGGCUCCCAGGGAGAAGAGUCAGUGAGUGGUUCCCAGAGAACAUCUAGUAUCUAUGCACGAGAGGCCCUCAUUGAGAUUGACUACGGUGACCUGUGUGAAGAUCUGAAGGUAAGAACUGUGGGUUCAACUGAGGCAUCAACAUCUUCUCAGCUGACUCAAGAAAAGUUAAGUCCAGGUGCACACAGAGAGAUAAAAAUUAUAUUCUUAGGAGGAGAUAUGGAGACAAAGUUUGCAGCAGAGACUGAAGG